UGUCUUCAGGGCGGGGUGCAAGUCCCCACCGGCGGUAAACUCCUUUGAGCAAGCCCGCGAGCGUUUUGCGCUGAAUCGGUGAAAUUCCGAUGCCGACGGUUACAGUCCGGAUGAAAGAAGAU
rnacentral:ncRNA from 1 species